AUGGCGUCCCACAGUGCUGCCGGCCGUCGUCCCACGGCGCUCGUGCAUAUCGCUCUCUUCGUCGCCAUCGCCGCGGUCAUCAUCAACAGCUCCGUCUGUCUUGGAGCCGCCGUCCACGACGCCGCCACCUCAGGCACCGGUGCUCUCGACCCUAACGUCCCUGCUGUUCCGACGCCGGGCAGUGCCGGUCAACCCUACACCGGCCGUGGGUGCCGCACAGUUUAUGGAUGUAAACCACCGGCGGGUAGCCAGCCCUAA
rnacentral:rRNA from 1 species